rnacentral:rRNA from 1 species
AGAGUUUGAUCCUGGCUCAGGAUGAACGCUGGCGGCGUGCCUAACACAUGCAAGUCGAGCGUGAUUAAGUGGAGUGCGAACUUCGGUUCAAGUGAAGCUUAUGAAAGCGGCGGACGGGUGAGUAACGCGUGGGCAACCUGCCCCAUACAGAGGGAUAGCCACUGGAAACGGUGAUUAAUACCUCAUGAGUCAGUAGGGUCGCAUGAUCUAGCUGACAAAGAUUUAUCGGUAUGGGAUGGGCCCGCGUCUGAUUAGCUAGUUGGUGAGGUAACGGCUCACCAAGGCGACGAUCAGUAGCCGACCUGAGAGGGUGAUCGGCCACACUGGAACUGAGACACGGUCCAGACUCCUACGGGAGGCAGCAGUGGGGAAUAUUGCACAAUGGGCGCAAGCCUGAUGCAGCAACGCCGCGUGAGUGAAGAAGGCCUUCGGGUCGUAAAACUCUGUCCUAGGGGAAGAAACAAAUGACGGUACCAUGGGAGGAAGCCCCGGCUAACUACGUGCCAGCAGCCGCGGUAAUACGUAGGGUGCAAGCGUUGUUCGGAAUUAUUGGGCGUAAAGCGCGUG